GACGAACGCUGGCGGCGUGCUUAACACAUGCAAGUCGAACGAGAAUCUACUGAAAGAGUUUUCGGACAAUGGAAGUAGAGGAAAGUGGCGGACGGGUGAGUAACGCGUGAGGAACCUGCCUUGAAGAGGGGGACAACAGUUGGAAACGACUGCUAAUACCGCAUGAAGCAUAGGGGUCGCAUGAUUCUUAUGCCAAAGAUUUAUCGCUUCAAGAUGGCCUCGCGUCUGAUUAGCUGGUUGGCGGGGUAACGGCCCACCAAGGCGACGGUCAGGAGCCGGUCUGAGUGGUUGACCGGCCACAUUGGGACUGGGGUACGGACCAGACUCCUUCGGGAGGCAGCCGUGAGGAUUAUUGAGCAAUGCGCGCUAGCCUGACACAGCCACGCCGCGUGAAGGAAGAAGGCUUUCGGGUUGUAAACUUCUUUUAAGAGGGAAGAGCAGAAGACGGUACCUCUAGAAUAAGCCACGGCUAACUACGUG
rnacentral:rRNA from 1 species